CCUACGGGAGGCAGCAGUGGGGAAUAUUGCACAAUGGGCGAAACCCUGAUGCAGCGACGCCGCGUGAAGGAAGAAGUAUUUCGGUAUGUAAACUUCUUUCAGCAGGGAAGAAAAUGACGGUACCUGACUAAGAAGCCCCGGCGAACUACGUGCCAGCAGCCGCGGUAAUACGGAGGGGGCAAGCGUUAUCCGGAUUUACUGGGUGUAAAGGGAGCGUAGGCGGUUUAGCAAGUCAGAAGUGAAAGCCCGGGGCUCAACUCCGGGACUGCUUUUGAAACUGUUGAACUAGAGUGCAGGAGAGGUAAGUGGAAUUCGUAGUGUAGCGGUGAAAUGCGUAGAUAUUAGGAGGAACACCAGUGGCGAAGGCGGCUUACUGGACUGUAAAUGACGCUGAGGCUCGAAAGCGUGGGGAGCAAACAGGAUUAGAUACCCUGGUAGUC
rnacentral:rRNA from 1 species